AGUGAACGCUGGCGGUAGGCCUAACACAUGCAAGUCGAACGGCAGCACAGUAAGAGCUUGCUCUUACGGGUGGCGAGUGGCGGACGGGUGAGGAAUACAUCGGAAUCUACUUUUUCGUGGGGGAUAACGUAGGGAAACUUACGCUAAUACCGCAUACGACCUACGGGUGAAAGCAGGGGAUCUUCGGACCUUGCGCGAUUGAAUGAGCCGAUGUCGGAUUAGCUAGUUGGCGGGGUAAAGGCCCACCAAGGCGACGAUCCGUAGCUGGUCUGAGAGGAUGAUCAGCCACACUGGAACUGAGACACGGUCCAGACUCCUACGGGAGGCAGCAGUGGGGAAUAUUGGACAAUGGGCGCAAGCCUGAUCCAGCCAUACCGCGUGGGUGAAGAAGGCCUUCGGGUUGUAAAGCCCUUUUGUUGGGAAAGAAAUCCAGCCGGCUAAUACCUGGUUGGGAUGACGGUACCAAAAGAAUAAGCACCGGCUAACUUCGUG
rnacentral:rRNA from 1 species